UUGAGGAAAAUGGACGCCUUUGUGUCUGUUUUCUUCGUAUUCGCACUAUAAAUACUGUUUCCCCGCUAUGCACCAGAUUUGACAUGGCGAUGUUUACGCGGUACCGUGUAAUAUGCAAGUGAAAGUCGUGAGGUGAUAUUCAGUUGGGUGCUUAUAUUCGUGAUCGGUUUAAAAACGCGAUCAUCCAAGUAGGCCACAACCACGGAUUGACAAUUGAGUGGAUAUCGUCUACGGGGAAAAGUUUUUUGCUAAAAGGCUCGACACGGUCAAACCCAACUAUUUGGAGAACGCUCUAUGAUUGACUAGAACUUUAUUUACGAUUGAAAAUUAAUGUUCUCGCUAAUGUGCACACUCUGCCCGCCAAAAUUAUAUUACGCAUAGUACAUUUGAGAUCAUAAAUAAUCGUCUUGAUUGCUUGGGCAGAUUCUCGUGUGUUCUUUUGGAUAAUUCUCUUGUAUAAAUAUCAUCCAGUGCUAAUGUUUUCAUAUGUGUGAUGUUGGAUGGUAGACAUUCAACGAAGAAAGG